rnacentral:lncRNA from 1 species
GCCCUUUCGGUGGGUCCCUGAUGUCAGGUGGAGGAAUCAUUAUUUUGCGCGUAAUAAGGAGGCAUUUCCUUGCGUGCGGCCGUGGAACCAGCUGUUGGCAUCUCCCCGUACAGUCCACUUCAGAUGCAUGUCGGUCGUUGACCACGUUGACCAGGCUACGCCAAGAGCACCAGGGCAGUGGACGAUAGCGAGGCCUAGGAAGGGAACGACAUGGAGGCAAGAAAGACUCGGCAGUUGUUUCCCACGUGGAGGGGAGUACGACUGUACAAGGGUUUACUAGUUCGUCUGCCGUCGCGGAGAAUGACAGCAGGUGUGGGUGAGUAGAGGGAUGGCUAGGCCAGCGAUGGGAGUACGGUGGGGCGGUGAGGCCUGCGCGGCAGCAGAGCCGGCCGCGGGGAGGAGGGAGCAGGCAGUCCCGCCGGCGCUUGUUUGAGCGGCUGGAGCAGGAAGAGCAGAGAUUGAAUAAGCACGACGACCGUUGCAUGGCCAUCCAACAGUCACUGCUUGUUCAUCAACCUUUUUUUUAGGAAAGCCUCAAAUCUGUGGAAAACAGCAUACAACCCAUCUGCCAUUAUUUCUAAUAAUUUACAGCCCAUUUGCUAAUUAUUAAGGUUUUUUUGGAGCCCAUAUUCUUUUUGUUAGCAUUACAACCCAUAUUGUGGCCACGGUUAAAAAAUUAUACGAAAUUUUGCAUAUUUCGGUGCGGUCCGAACUGUUUUUAAUCCCGAAAUUUCGACUCACAUUCAAACUGAUUUUAAAAAUAAAUGUAUAUCAAUAUAAAAUCCAACAAAUUUUCCAUGCAUAAAAAUUAAUGUAAUUUAAAAUCUCGAAAUGAAAAAAAAGAUAUUUGAAACUAAUUGCCGGUUUGAUGUGUUUUAAAAAUGUACAACCCAUUUCUCAUUACUGAUGGGCCAUUUUCUCGGCCAGCCGAAUGAAAGCUCUCCUCGUCUAGAAAGAUUUGCAGCCCAACAGGCCUGACAAAGCGACUUACUUGGCAAAUCACCAAAAAACUGGGCUGUGGCCGUGGACCCAGCUGUCAGCCUCUCCACGUACAGUACUCUUCCGAUGGAAGUCGUUCCUUGACCACGUUGACCACGCCGCGCGGAGAGCACCACGGCGGUGGACGACGGCGAGGCCUAGGAAGGGGACGACGUGGAGCCGGGGAAGACGCGGCAGUGGAAGCCCGCGCGGAGAGGAGUACGAGGGUUCACUGGUUCGGCUGCGGUGUGAUGCUGCCGUCGCCGCAGGGCCUGGCCAGCGGUGGGAAUAGUAGGCGGUGGUGAGGCCUCCACGGCAGCACAGCCGGCCACGGGAGGCAGGAGCAUGCGCCACGACCGGCGCUGCUUUGGGUGGCUGGAGCAAGAAGACCAGAGGUUGAAGAAGCACUACGGCCGUUGGAUGGACAUCGUACGGUCACUGGAGCUAGAAUCGUUCAUAUUGACUAAAGUUGACAAAGGCCCCCGUCCCAGUCAACUUAGUAGGCCCACAAGUCAGCCUCCCACCAUGGUGGGUCCCAGCUAGCAGGGGGAGUAUUCAUUUUUUUGUGCGUAAUAAGGAGGCACUUCCUUGCGUGCGAAGAUAUAGCUGGUGGGUCCGAGCUGUCAGCGGCGGUAACGUUUUUUUCGCAAAAUACAGAGGCCCUUUCGGUGGGUCCCUGAUGUCAGGUGGAGGAAUCAUUAUUUUGCGCGUAAUAAGGAGGCAUUUCCUUGCGUGCGGCCGUGGAACCAGCUGUCGGCCUCUCCCCGUACAGUCCACUUCAGAUGCAUGUCGGUCGUUGACCACGUUGACCAGGCCGCGCCAAGAGCACCAGGGCGGUGGACGAUAGCGAGGCCUAGGAAGGGAACGACAUGGAGGCAGGAAAGACUCGGCAGUUGUUUCCCACGUGGAGGGGAGUAUGACUGUACAAGGGUUUACUGGUUCGUCUGCCGUCGCCGAAGAAUAACAGCAGGUGUGGGUGAGUAGAGGGAUGGCUAGGCCAGCGAUGGGAGUACGGUGGGGCGGUGAGGCCUGCGCGGCAGCAGAGCUGGCCGCGGGGAGGAGGGAGCAGGCAG